rnacentral:rRNA from 1 species
UACCAGCACCCCCGAGUGGUCGGGACGUUUUAUUGGGCCUAAAGCAUCCGUAGCCGGUUCUACGAGUCUUCCGUUAAAUCCAACUGCUUAACAGGUGGGCUGCGGAAGAUACUAUAGAGCUAGGAGGCGGGAGAGGCAAGCGGUACUCGAUGGGUAGGGGUAAAAUCCGUUUGAUCCAUUGAAGACCACCAGUGGCGAAGGCGGCUUCCAGAACGCGCUCGACGGUGAGGGAUGAAAGCUGGGGGGAGCAAACCGG